UAAAGAAAGCGUAAUAGCUCACUGGUCGAGUCGGCCUGCGCGGAAGAUGUAACGGGGCUAAACCAUGCACCGAAGCUGCGGCAGCGACACUGUGUGUUGUUGGGUAGGGGAGCGUUCUGUAAGCCUGUGAAGGUGGCCUGUGAGGGUUGCUGGAGGUAUCAGAAGUGCGAAUGCUGACAUAAGUAACGAUAAAGCUGGUGAAAAGCCCGCUCGCCGGAAGACCAA
rnacentral:rRNA from 1 species